AGUGAAGCGGGAAAAGCUCAAAUUUAAAAUCUGGCGGCUUUGGUCGUCCGAGUUGUAUUCUAGAGAAGUGUUUUCCGCGUUGGACCGUGUAUAAGUCUCUUGGAAUAGAGCGUCAUAGAGGGUGAGAAUCCCGUCUUUGACACGGACUACCAAUGCUUUGUGAUACACUCUCAAAGAGUCGAGUUGUUUGGGAAUGCAGCUCAAAAUGGGUGGUAAAUUCCAUCUAAAGCUAAAUAUUGGCGAGAGACCGAUAGCGAACAAGUACCGUGAGGGAAAGAUGAAAAGCACUUUGGAAAGAGAGUUAAACAGUACGUGAAAUUGCUGAAAGGGAAACGCUUGAAGUCAGUCGCGUUAGCUAGAACUCAACCAGGCUUGCUUGGCGUAUUUUCUAGUUAACGGGCCAGCAUCAGUUUUGACCGCAGGAAAAGGGCCGGGGAAAUGUGGCAUCUUCGGAUGUGUUAUAGUCUCUGGUCGUAUACUGUGAUUGGGACUGAGGACCGCAGCACGCGCAAGCUGUGCUUAGGAUGCUGGCGUAAUGGCUUUAAACGACCCGUCUUGAAACACGGACCAAGGAGUCUAACAAACCUGCGAGUAUUUGGGUGGUAAACCCGAGUGCGCAAUGAAAGUGAAAGUUGGGAUUCCUGUCGUGGGAAGCACCGACGCCCGGACCAGACCUUCUGUGACGGAUCUGCGGUAGAGCAUGUUUGUUGGGACCCGAAAGAUGGUGAACUAUGCCUGAAUAGGGUGAAGCCAGAGGAAACUCUGGUGGAGGCUCGUAGCGAUUCUGACGUGCAAAUCGAUCGUCAAAUUUGGGUAUAGGGGCGAAAGA
rnacentral:rRNA from 1 species